AUGCACCCUGCUCAAAUAACUUGAUGAGAAUUUUUUUUAUUGAAUUCUUCCUGUGAAAAGAUGCCUGCGUCUUGGCAUUCCUGGUUCAUCUGUACUGAGUCAUCUUGUUUAAAUUGUUUAUGGUCAACCGAAUGGAUCCAGUUUUGCUGAUCUGUUCAAUCAAUGGCCAGAUUACAAUUAAGCUAUUGGCAAUCUCUGUUCAUGUCUUCUUUGGCCUGCCCAUCAUCCUGGUAUAUCAUUGAGAUGUCUCUGAUGUAAACUUCGAAAUAAUAGAGAGCCAACAUUAGGCCAGUGGGCUACUGAUUGAGAAAUACAUGCAAUUCUCGCCCAGAAAAAUCUGUUCUACUUUUGUUAAAAGAUUUUGCGUUCUUACAUUUUUCUUUCUAACAAAGAAUUUUUAACCAUAUUUCUCCAGUAUGCAUCAGUAACCAUCUUAAUUCAGAUAUCUUCAGGCCAGAAGCAUACGUUAGAUUGCUCAUUGGUUCUUUUUCUCUUUAUGGCUUCUGUAACUCUGUGGUGUCUAGUUGAACAUAAUAUUGUGCUAGUUUUUCA
rnacentral:misc_RNA from 1 species